GUGGGUCUGUCUGUUGCCCUGUGCUGCGCGGUGCACUCUCUCCCCCUCGGAUCUCCUUGUGGAGGGUGGGUUGCUCCUGCUGCCCCUCCCAUCACCCAUCUCUCUGAGCUGCAUUAUUUUUAGGGUUAUAGGAUUUUCUGGGUGUCUGAUGUCAUCAGCAACCCCUACUGUUCGCCAGAACUUUCAUGGGCACGAGCAUUCACACACACACACACUCCUCCUCAAUUUCUAACGCUGAAACCAUGGUUUUUUUUUUUUUUUUUGAGACAGAGUCUCGCUCUGUCACCCAGGCUGGAGUGCAGUGGUGUGAUCUCGGCUCACUGCAACCUCCACCUCCCGGGUUCAAGUGAUUCUCCUGCCUCAGCCUCCCGAGUAGCUGGGACUACAGCUUACGCAGCCCAGUCCCAUGUCCCGCCAUCCCUCACCAUUGUCGAGGGUGACC
ensembl:lncRNA SGSM2-AS1 SGSM2 antisense RNA 1